GACGAACGCUGGCGGCGUGCUUAACACAUGCAAGUCGAACGGAAAGGCCCUGCUUUUGUGGGGUGCUCGAGUGGCGAACGGGUGAGUAACACGUGAGUAACCUGCCCUUGACUUUGGGAUAACUUCAGGAAACUGGGGCUAAUACCGGAUAGGAGCUCCUGCUGCAUGGUGGGGGUUGGAAAGUUUCGGCGGUUGGGGAUGGACUCGCAGCUUAUCAGCUUGUUGGUGGGGUAGUGGCUUACCAAGGCUUUGACGGGUAGCCGGCCUGAGAGGGUGACCGGCCACGUUGGGACUGAGAUACGGCACAGACUCCUACGGGAGGCAGCAGUGGGGUAUAUUGCACAAUGGGCGGAAGCCUGAUGCAGCAACGCCGCGUGCGGGAUGACGGCCUUCGGGUUGUAAACCGCUUUCGCCUGUGACGAAGCGUGAGUGACGGUAAUGGGUAAAGAAGCACCGGCUAACUACGUG
rnacentral:rRNA from 1 species